ACUUUAAAUAGGUAGGAC
rnacentral:snRNA from 1 species